GGUCCGGUGGCGAAAUGGUAUCGUGUGGUCCUCCUAAUUCGGGAGGAUAAGACUGAGGUUGUGGGUUCGAGUCCCAUCCGGAUCG
rfam:Neurospora crassa OR74A linkage group IV, whole genome shotgun sequence.